rnacentral:rRNA from 1 species
AUUGAACGCUGGCGGCAUGCCUUACACAUGCAAGUCGAACGGUAACAGGUCUUCGGAUGCUGACGAGUGGCGAACGGGUGAGUAAUGCAUCGGAACGUGCCCAGUAGUGGGGGAUAGCCCGGCGACAGCCGGAUUAAUACCGCAUACGACCUGAGGGUGAAAGGGGGGGAUCGCAAGACCUCUCGCUAUUGGAGCGGCCGAUGUCAGAUUAGCUAGUUGGUGGGGUAAAGGCCUACCAAGGCAACGAUCUGUAGUUGGUCUGAGAGGACGACCAGCCACACUGGGACUGAGAAACGGCCCAGACGCCUACGGGAGGCAGCAGUGGGGAAUUUUGGACAAUGGGCGCAAGCCUGAUCCAGUAAUGCCGCGUGCAGGAAGAAGGCCUUCGGGUUGUAAACUGCUUUUGUCAGGGAAGAAAUCUUCUGGGUUAAUACCUCGGGAGGAUGACGGUACCUGAAGAAUAAGCACCGGCUAACUACGUGCCAGCAGCCGCGGUAACAC